AUAAUGGGUCAGCGACUUAUAUUCUGUAGCAAGGUUAACCGAAUAGGGGAGCCGAAGGGAAACCGAGUCUUAACUGGGCGUUAAGUUGCAGGGUAUAGACCCGAAACCCGGUGAUCUAGCCAUGGGCAGGUUGAAGGUUGGGUAACACUAACUGGAGGACCGAACCGACUAAUGUUGAAAAAUUAGCGGAUGACUUGUGGCUGGGGGUGAAAGGCCAAUCAAACCGGGAGAUAGCUGGUUCUCCCCGAAAGCUAUUUAGGUAGCGCCUCGUGAAUUCAUCUCCGGGGGUAGAGCACUGUUUCGGCAAGGGGGUCAUCCCGACUUACCAACCCGAUGCAAACUGCGAAUACCGGAGAAUGUUAUCACGGGAGACACACGGCGGGUGCUAACGUCCGUCGUGAAGAGGGAAACAACCCAGACCGCCAGCUAAGGUCCCAAAGUCAUGGUUAAGUGGGAAACGAUGUGGGAAGGCCCAGACAGCCAGGAUGUUGGCUUAGAAGCAGCCAUCAUUUAAAGAAAGCGUAAUAGCUCACUGGUCGAGUCGGCCUGCGCGGAAGAUGUAACGGGGCUAAACCAUGCACCGAAGCUGCGGCAGCGACGCUGAUGCGUUGUUGGGUAGGGGAGCGUUCUGUAAGCCUGCGAAGGUGUGCUGUGAGGCAUGCUGGAGGUAUCAGAAGUGCGAAUGCUGACAUAAGUAACGAUAAAGCGGGUGAAAAGCCCGCUCGCCGGAAGACCAAGGGUUCCUGUCCAACGUUAAUCGGGGCAGGGUGAGUCGACCCCUAAGGCGAGGCCGAAAGGCGUAG
rnacentral:rRNA from 1 species